GGGUGGACUGGCCUGGCAGCUCCUCCGACUUCACUAGCGUCCUCAUACCGGCCACUCAACCCACUCUGACGGUCAGGUUUUCAUCUGUACAAGGAAAACAAAGUCCCUUGCAGGAAUCGUGAAGACAGGUGGAAACACUAGCUGGCCACUCGGUGAAAAAGGCCAGGAGUAAGGAGAGCGAAGCUGGUGGAGCCCCAGCUCCUCGUGCUGAGCGGCAAGAGGUCGGGGUCAAGAAGCUGCACGGGAGGUAAACUACCAGGAGAGAGCAGACGGUAAUGUUCAUUCCCACACGCGACCGGCACACUGUGGCUUGAAAGCUACCCUACGGCUGGCACGCAGGCGAGCUCCUUCCGCAGAAGGGGUGACAAGGACAGUUUCAGCCCGAGGCCCACAGACUGCCACAGAGUCUCAGCAGAAUCCGAUUCAAUGAGCUUACUCUGCACAGCUCGCGACCAGGGAAGGCAGGGCCACGUUUAUGACACGUUUAAGGCUUCCACCGGCUUCAUUCCAGUCCUGAGUGUUCAGAUCAGUCACUCGGUCUGGGGUGAACACCCUGCCUGCCUGCAACCUGGCAAGGAAGCAUCAAGGCAUCGGACUGUCUCUCUCCCCAAACUGACAAGAAGGUGAAUCCUUAG